GAAAAUGUUUUUAAAUCUUAGCUGUUGCAUUCUUAUUUGUCCUCUUCUUUUCUGAAGUAGCUCCUUGCACUAUAUAUUGCGAGCAGCCUUGCCUGUUAUUGAGCACAAUAUCUAGUUUGAAGAUGGUAUGGGACUAGUUAUGUAUGUGUGUAAUUCACUUAGUUUAGAAUGACAAGGACUUUUCUGUCAAAGUCCAUUUCUGUAGAUGAACAAACACAAACUGCUCUCUCUCUCUCUUCACAAACUGAUAGAGAUCUGAUGAGAAUGUCGAGACUCUUCAUCGACAAACUGCAAAUGUUUCUUUCUCUGUGCAAUCUAUGAACAACUUAAUUCUCCACCAUAACUAUCUAUUCUACUGUAGCAUCUUAGUAAACCUCUUCACAUUGUAGAAAUAUCUGGAAUCAUUGUUCAUUGCUUGAUAAGAAUGAAUAUUUUUAGCUCUUUUUUGUUGUCGUUUUUAUUUGGAGGGGUUCCCCUGUUUCUGUAAAGCUUCUACAAUUACUCCCUUCAUUUAUAAAUUCUUUAAUUUUUAUAAGAGAAGAAUAUUGUCAUCUAAUGUAAUCAUCUUUGUUAUAACAUUGGUUUCGAUGCAUACACACUGAUUGUGAUGAGUCACAUUGUCUUAGAAGUGAAUUAGCAGAGGUCGUUAAGAACCAGACCCAAAAGACUUUUGAGUAAUUUAGCUAUUUUCACUUCUGAGUUCAAAUUUGAUGAAAAUUAAAUUUGCUUUUUCAUCCCUGUAGAUAAAAAAUAUAUAAAUUAAUGAAUAUAAUAAAUUGAUACUAAAGCAAUAAUGCCAAGAACACCUGUCUUUAUAUUACUGAAUCAAGUAUAUUGUCAUCACAUCAUUUGAAAAGAGUUGUUCUCCAAAGCUGAGAUACAAGAGUCACUAACAUAUAUUAAAAUCUACCAAAAUAUGUUAUGAAUGAAUAUGUAAAUCAUUGUUUUAAUUUUCACUGUUUUAUGUACCCAUGAUAAUUGAUCAUAAAUUAUCAUGAUAAUUGAUCAUGUGUCUACAGAAAAAGAAUAAAGUUUCCAUUUAAUGAAAGUGUUGCAACUUUAAAGUUAGGUCUUUGGAUUCCCUUGGCAUAUUCUCGGCUAUAACUUCUGAUUAUUUCCCUCAAAUCAAUCAAGUUAACUGUCUCAACAAGUUAAACUGGGACUACAAGCAUUAUUAACUGAGAUGCCAAUCCAUCUCAGAUCACCUCUGGCUCUACGAUACAUACAUCCUGUUUUAAAUUAUCGAGAUUAAAACCUUUGAAAAUUUCUUAAUUCAUGUUCCAAAGACUGACAAAACAAGAACAUAUUGCUAAAUUCUUCAUUAUUUUCAAAAUUAAUUAAAACAAAGGCAGAAAUAUGGAAAUGAAAGGGGUUAAUAACGUAAACAAUUUGUUGCUGUAGUUCAAAGGUUUCCUUAUUUUGUUGUGAAAGAGUUGAAGGGGGGAGUUCACUGAUUUUAGCCUAGAAGUUUCUCUGAGCCUCUUGUCUUUCUUAUGAUAAAAACAAAAAUAUUUAUGAUGAAGAUAAUUAUUAUGCUCCAACAAACAAACUUUUGUAUGUCUAUUUUAUUAUUUGAUUGCCAAGCCUUUGGCAAGUUACUAGUAGAAUGCACUUGUAGAGGUCACAAUGAUGUUAAUAGCAUUUUCCUUUCACUACAAUAAAAAAAAUUAUUUUCCUUUCACUACAUGUUUCAUGUUUUUAAUCUUUGAAGCAUUGAAAAUGCUUUCACCAACUUAAUUAUUUAGAAUCAAGUAAAAUGCCUGUAGUUAUAUAUAAAGUUACCUUUGGUAAUUUUUUUUCUACAACUGUGUGUAGUAUUUUAAAGUUUUUUUAAAAAUAAUAUAUUGUUCUUUUCUCCCUUAAGGAUUCUUUAUUUGGCCUUUUUCUUUUCCUUCCAACCAAUUUAUUACUCCAUGUGUUCUGCUUUUGCAAUGAUUUUUGAUAUCUAUAUUUUUGUAGAAUUUCUUCAUAUAUAUAUAUAUAUAUAUAUAUAUAUAUAUAAUGUAUGUAUAUAGCUACUGCUUUAGAAUUCCUUCCCAUGUGAUAGCUAUAACUAUUCUGAUUUUCCACCUUAGCUGCUGGCUUAAUCAUUUUCUAGCUCUCUCAACUUCUAAUCUGAUCCCUGCCCAAACAAAUUACAAAAAUAAUCCAGUUUGCCAUUUUAAAUUUAUCUAAUUAGCUUCAUUAACAAUAUAUCAAUGUUGGUUAAUUGUUUUAAUUAUUAAUUCACAUUCUUCUCAUUUCCCUUAACAGGUGUAAACAAUAUAAAUUUUGUAGACAUUUGAUGAAUGUUCACAUUGUUCUUUUGUUUUUUAGUUUUAUUGUUCUUCUCCUUUUAUAUUGCAUCGUUAGACUGAUUAUCAACUCUGUAAUCUCACCACUUGUGACUUUGAUCUCUUUCCAAGUUAGUUAAACUUUUAUUAUUCCAGCUUCACCACAGUCAUCUUCUGACUUUCUACCAAAUUUAACUGGCAUUUUUUUCUUCUUUUGUUACCAUUUUGGAAG
rnacentral:lncRNA from 1 species